UCGUGCCAGGUUUUGAACACCGGACACCUGACAUGCGAGGCGAGCGUGUUACCACUACUCCACCAACGCACG
rnacentral:tRNA from 11 species